ACUAGAGGUUACCUGUUAGAACUGAUGCUGUUGAAACUAGAGGUUACCUGUUGAAACUAGAGGUUACCUGUUGAAACUAGAGGUUACCUGUUGAAACUAGAGGUUACCUGUUGAAACUAGAGGUUACCUGUUAGAACUGAUGCUGUUGAAACUAGAGGUUACCUGU